UGAAACAUGGUUGAGCGCCUGUGUAAGGUGU
rnacentral:piRNA from 1 species